rnacentral:rRNA from 1 species
GACGAACGCUGGCGGCGUGCUUAACACAUGCAAGUCGAACGGAAAGGCCCUGCUUUUGUGGGGUGCUCGAGUGGCGAACGGGUGAGUAACACGUGAGUAACCUGCCCUUGACUUUGGGAUAACUUCAGGAAACUGGGGCUAAUACCGGAUAGGAGCUCCUGCUGCAUGGUGGGGGUUGGAAAGUUUCGGCGGUUGGGGAUGGACUCGCGGCUUAUCAGCUUGUUGGUGGGGUAGUGGCUUACCAAGGCUUUGACGGGUAGCCGGCCUGAGAGGGUGACCGGCCACAUUGGGACUGAGAUACGGCCCAGACUCCUACGGGAGGCAGCAGUGGGGAAUAUGGCACAAUGGGCGGAAGCCUGAUGCAGCAACGCCGCGUGCGGGAUGACGGCCUUCGGGUUGUAAACCGCUUUCGCCUGUGACGAAGCGUGAGUGAUGGUAAUGGGUAAAGAAGCACCGGCUAACUACGUG